rnacentral:rRNA from 1 species
UGGGGAAUUUUGGACAAUGGGCGCAAGCCUGAUCCAGCCAUACCGCGUGUGUGAAGAAGGCCUGCGGGUUGUAAAGCACUUUAGUUGGGGAGGAAAGGUAUGUACUGCAUAAGUGCAUGCUGUGACGUUACCCAAAGAAUAAGCACCGGCAAACUCUGUGCCAGCAGCCGCGGUAAUACAGAGGGUGCAAGCGUUAAUCGGACUUACUGGGCGUAAAGGGUGCGUAGGUGGUUUGUUAAGUUGGAUGUGAAAUCCCCGGGCUCAACCUGGGAACUGCAUUCAAAACUGACUGACUAGAGUAUGGUAGAGGGUGGUGGAAUUUCCUGUGUAGCGGUGAAAUGCGUAGAUAUCAAGAGGAACACCUGAGGUGAAGACGGGUUGCUGGGCUGACACUGACGCUGAGGCGCGAAAGCCAGGGGAGCAAACGGGAUUAGAUACCCAAGUAGUCCCUGAGCGGGCUGGCAAGGCGCAU